UACGGAGGGAGCUAGCGUUGUUCGGAAUUACUGGGCGUAAAGCGCGCGUAGGCGGUUAUUCAAGUCAGAGGUGAAAGCCCGGGGCUCAACCCCGGAACUGCCUUUGAAACUAGAUAACUAGAAUCUUGGAGAGGUCAGUGGAAUUCCGAGUGUAGAGGUGAAAUUCGUAGAUAUUCGGAAGAACACCAGUGGCGAAGGCGACUGACUGGACAAGUAUUGACGCUGAGGUGCGAAAGCGUGGGGAGCAAACAGG
rnacentral:rRNA from 1 species